rnacentral:rRNA from 1 species
UCCUGAUUGAUAAACAUUUGAGUGAGUGGCGGACGGGUGAGUAACACGUGGGUAACCUGCCCUAAAGUGGGGGAUAACAUUUGGAAACAGAUGCUAAUACCGCAUAAAACUUUAAACACAAGUUUUAAGUUUGAAAGAUGCAAUUGCAUCACUCAAAGAUGAUCCCGCGUUGUAUUAGCUAGUUGGUGAGGUAAAGGCUCACCAAGGCGAUGAUACAUAGCCGACCCUGAGAGGGUGAUCGGCCACAUUGGGACUGAGACACGGCCCAAACUCC